AAGGUCCAUCUCUUUUUUUGUUUGUGUGAUUGAUUGAUUCACAAUCAAUCAAAUUGAUUGAUUGAUUGAAUGCCUUUCCUUCAAAGAUCAGAGAUAGUGUAACUUUUCAUGCUAAGAACUCUUUAUUACCAGCAAAUAUGGAAAACUUUAAGGCACUCAGAAAUGACUCUGAAAUUCUUCACCUGUAGGUCCUCUGGAGUGAGAGAAUACUUUAGUCAUGCCCACUGCCAUGUGAUGCACACAGAGGCUCUCCUUCCCCUUCAAUUCCUGACAGAGGUCCUGAACUUUGGAGAUACCAGCCCCAUGUGGCAGUGGACACUUGAAAUGCAUUUUCUGUCCAUUGCUCUGUGCCAUGAAUUUAAAAUGCACACACGGGUUGAUGACUUAGAAUGACA
rnacentral:lncRNA from 1 species